CCUACGGGUGGCAGCAGUGAGGAAUAUUGGUCAAUGGGCGCGAGCCUGAACCAGCCAAGUCGCGUGAGGGAAGACGGCCCUACGGGUUGUAAAUCUCUUUUGCCGGGGAGCAACGGGCGCCACGUGUGGCGCCACUGAGAGUACCCGGAGAACAAGCAUCGGCGAACUACGUGCCAGCAGCCGCGUUAAUACGGAGGAUGCGAGCGUUAGUCGGAAUUACUGGGCGUAAAGCGCUCGGAGGCGGUAUGGCAAGUCAACGGUGAAAUCCCCGGGCUCAACGUGGGAACUGCCUUUGAAACUGACAAACUGGAGUGUGUGAGAGGAUAGUGGAAUUCCAGGUGUAGGGGUGAAAUCCGUAGAUAUCUGGAGGAACAUCAGUGGCGAAGGCGACUAUCUGGCACAUAACUGACGCUGAGGAGCGAAAGCGUGGGUAGCAAACAGGAUUAGAUACCCUAGUAGUC
rnacentral:rRNA from 1 species